UUUUCGUUUUUUUCAUGUCCAACAUUUGACCAUUCGUCUUAUUUGAAAAAUUUGUAUAAAAAGUUAAAAAAAAAUUAUCCACGUAUAAAGUACUAUUAAUAUUUUAUCAUCUAGUAAUAAUAAAAAUAUUAAUCGUAAAUUUUUUUUAAAUAAGACGAAUGGUCAAACGUUGAACAUUAUAGGACGGAGGCAGUAGAU
rfam:Oryza brachyantha chromosome 3, whole genome shotgun sequence.